CCGCGUGGGUGAAGAAGGCCUUCGGGUUGUAAAGCCCUUUUGUUGGGAAAGAAAAGCAUUCGGUUAAUACCCGGGUGUUCUGACGGUACCCAAAGAAUAAGCACCGGCUAACUUCGUGCCAGCAGCCGCGGUAAUACGAAGGGUGCAAGCGUUACUCGGAAUUACUGGGCGUAAAGCGUGCGUAGGUGGUUGUUUAAGUCCGUUGUGAAAGCCCUGGGCUCAACCUGGGAACUGCAGUGGAUACUGGGCAACUAGAGUGUGGGAGAGGAUAGUGGAAUUUCCGGUGUAGCAGUGAAAUGCCUAUAGAUCGGGAGGAACAUCUGUGGCGAACGCAACUAUCUGGGCCAACACUGACACUGAGGCACGAAAGCGUGGGGAGCAAACAGGAUUACAUACCCUGGUAGUCCACGCCCUAAACAAUGCUAACUGGAUGUUGGGUUCAACUUGGAACCCAAUAUCCAACCUCACGCGUUAAGUUCGCCGCCGGGGGAGUACGGUCGCAAGACUGAAACUCAAAGGAAUUGACGGAGGCCCGCACAAGCGGUGGAGUAUGUGGUUUAAUUCUAUGCAACGCUGACAACCUUACCUGGUCUUGACAUCUGCUGAACUUUCUAGA
rnacentral:rRNA from 1 species